rnacentral:lncRNA from 1 species
AACGAGAGGACUGACAAGGCAAACAAGCAAGAUAGAAAAGAUUCGCCUAAGCACGCGAGGACUGAUAAGGCGAACAUAAAUGAGAAAUGAUUUUCCUAAGCAUGAGAGGACUGACAAGGAAAACAAGCAAGAUAGAAAGGAUUCGUCUAAGCACGAGAGGACUGAUAAGGCGAACAUGAAUGAGAAACGGUUUUCCUAAGCACGAGAGGACUGACAAGGAAAACAAGCAAGAUAUAAAGGAUAUUUGAAUCAAAGAGUGUGGCAUUAACCAAUAGAUGAUAUGAC